GCGGGGUUUGAGGGGCGCGGGGCGCGCGGGCUGCGCCGGCGGGAGGCGGAGCCCUGAGGUGGUGUUCCCGCCCGGCAGGGCAGCGCCCUCCGCCCCUGAGGGACAGCGCGGCCGCCGAAGGGGCGAUCUGGCGCCGGGAGUCAAGUUGGGCGGUCCCCGCAGCGCUGGGGAGCAGUAGAGACUUUGGGUUUAUCUUCUCCUUUUUGAGCCCUGAGGAAACACUUGAAGAGGGGCAGAAAGGGCCGUGAGGAGAGCUCCGGGCCGAGGCAGGGCUUGCUGAGCACGCGGAGUGCGGUAGAGAUAGCAAAUCUGAGUUUGGAGUCACCUUCACUUCAAUAUUCUAGAGCUACAGAAUGAAUUGUGCUGGAGUUUCACUGGAGCGUCUCAGUGCUCCAAGCUACGGCAGUCACUGUGACCAGUUGCCACAGAAUAAGUGAUCUUCAGAUGGAGUUAACAACUGUUACUGGUGUUGAAGAAAGAGACUGGGAGUGAGGGCAAGAAUGCAGAGGACCUGCAGGGGUGACAGGAUAGAAGGAUGUGAAAACAGCUCAACAGCAGACUAAGAAGACAUGAGCUGUUCUGUGCUCACAGGAAAAUCAUUGGGAUUCUUGCCAUGAAUGCAGAACUGAGUUGCUUUCAGCAUUUCAGUACCCAUCACUAUAUUAUCUAGGCGCCACCACAAGAUUAAGGAGCUCAACAUGAUCUGCUCAGGGGUCAUUAGCAGAGCCUUUCAUACUGGAGAAGGUCGGAGGAGAGUAAGGAAGUGCACAACAGAAGGAAAGAAAAAGGAAAAGGAGGUGGUAAGCCAUUUUAGUUGUGCUCGUCCUGUGUGGCUUGCUUAGCUAGUAUGGAAAUAUAAGAGCCUCAUGACAGCUGUCUUUAUUCUGAUACAAGGACAAUAGGACUUGUUGUUACACUACUGUUAUGUCAGAAAAUUAUCUCACAUGGCCCACAGUUUGGAUCUUUACGAUUUCUGUAUAUUGCUGCCUCAGAACAAGAUAUUUGUCUCAGAAACUCCUAACAGAGAGCAAACACUUCAUCUCAGGUAGCCACCUUCUCCAAACUAAUUGGUUAAAAUUUGAUUUCUGGCUUAGCAUGUGAGUCCUACGAGCGCUUUAUGCUUUAGGAAGCAAAGAGAGUGUUUUCCAGUAUACACAAAGUUACAUAGGAUCCAUGGAAUUGGGAGACCCAAGCUGGUUUCCACUGAAAACGCUUGCUACAGGCUCUUUCAUUGCCAUGAGCACAUGCUGUCUGUACUGUGUUCACUGAUGCAGUCUGCUGUUACUGUUUCAGGAAAUACACUAGUAAGAGAAAAAAACUGCCAAAGCUCUUUUUUUUUCACCACUACAAUUAGGAAGGCUGGUGCAAUCCUGGUGAGGCCAAUGGCAGUAUGCUGACGUGCUCAAACAAACCCACUGAGGAUCUUUUGUACCACUUUGGUAUAAAAACACCAGGGGAUUUACACUAGGGAAUAAAUAGGUAGUUCCAAAGCAAGAAGGAAAGAGCCAAAGUUGGAAGCUGACCACAAUACGUGGGAGUAAGCGAUUACCAAAGGCUUCCAGUAACUCUGCUAUCAUCAGAGACUGGCUUUAUGGGUAUGGCCUCAAGAAGUUUCCCUCCACUUAAUUAAAGAGGCAGAUAAGUAUCUAGGUGGAGUGUGCAGAUAGGUUCUGAAUGAGUUAUCCACUAAGGCUGGUUCGCUGCACCUAUUGUUAAAGCCAAAAUAUAAUAUCAGAUUAAUGCAUUAUAUUUGCCUAUUAUAGCACUAUGUCAUCAUUAUAUGACAUGUUGUAAUUAAAGCCCUGCGUUAGAAACAAAACUAUUUGGCUUGGGAUAAGUUGCCUUUAUGACUUCUGUGGUUAUGAUUUCCUCCUUUUCUUAACCCCUUAAAAUGGCAUAAUAUAGCUAUUUGUAACUGUAUAAAGAAAGUUUCUAGUUUCAGAUUCUAAUCUCAGGUAAUUCAAUGUAAAUAAAGCCAAAAUCUGGCACAUAGUCUUUUCCUUGCCUGAAUAUUUGCAAAUAGAGGGAAAUGCCACACUGCUUGGGUGGAAGGAGUCACAAGGAUGGGCACUGGAUUAAAUGAGAGCGCACAUAACUCACCAUCUAGCCCAUUCAGUCUGUCCACAUUCGGUUCCUGAUUUUGUACACUUCCCCAUUAUUUUUCAGGGGAGGAAGACAUUCAGCAUGCUUUUACUCUUCUUUUUCUUUCCCGGAACUAUAUGAGGAAAAAAUGGUUAUUAGACUGCUUUCUGGAUGUAGCUCUCAGGAAACCAUGCUCACAAAUGCAAAUCUGAAAAAAAUGGGUGUGUGAUUGCAUCCCUAACUUGGAGAUACGAUUAAGAUUUCAGUUUGGAUAACUGACUAUGCUAAUGUGUUUAAUGAGUGAUUUGCAUAUGCAAGCUUUUAAAUUUCAGUAGUUGGUGAUUCAUGUAGUUAAGUGCCAGUCUUGGCCUUACUGUCAGAUUUAGGCACUCUGCCAGCCAUAUCCCCUAUCUCCCACAUCAAAUGCACAGAGCAAAUACUGUCACCACUCAAGAUGUAAUUUCCUGAAAAUAGCCAGGCUUUGUCUGUUUGAGAAGCAAGCGUGUUGCAGGGUUGUGAGUUUUCCUGCUGUUGUUCAGUAACAACUUUUAUUAUUUAAUAUUUUGCAAUGCUCUUAUAUAGAUCUUGCAGAUGUCUUUUAUAUUAGUAAUCAAAUUUUGCAUUUGUUUAGUUUGGAGAUGACCACCUUAAUAAAUGUUAAUUAUGAGAAUAUAGCUGCCAAUAGCCAGGGGUGCUAUCCCACUGACUUAGCCAAUCCAUGACAGUUGAUUCUGUUGCUGCAAUGCUGGUUACUCAGUAGUUUGCUUCCUAAUUCUUAGUGACCUUUCACCCAGACUUGGGCAGAGCUGGAUUUGGCCAUGGUAGCUUUGUGCAUGUUUGGGCCUUGGGCACAGUGGGCACUGUUGUGUUAUUUCUGUUUCACAGAGAUCUUGGAAAUGUGCAUUCUCUUCAUGGCACAUGGUUUCCUGUUCAGAAAGGUCCCAGGUGUAAGUGCUAGGUUUCUCAGAUCAUCAGUCUGGGAUAUAUGCAGACUUUUGAUGUAUAUAGCUUAUUGGAGACAGAUUUUUAGCUUCUCAUCUAAAAUAAUUAAAUUCCUAGAGGAAAAAGUGAAGAUUUAGAAAUAAUAAUAUGCAAAAAUGUGGGAUUUUUUUUUUUUGCAUACAAAUUUUAUGUCACCAGAUUUUGCCAUUGGUAGCCUGGCCUCGGCUCAAGAGGAAAUUUCCCUCCGUGGUGCUUCCUCACAUGAGUAAGGCACUGAACUCGGUCCCACCGCGCUGGCUCCUGCACAGCUCAGUCACUGUGGGCAAAGCAGGAUGGAAUGGGCAGUCCAGAAUGGUGUGUUCUUGUCACUGCUAAUUAAUUUUCUACCCUGCAAAAUACUUAACAGUAGAAAACACUGCUAAUUUCUUUUUUCUUUAAACAUUUCCAUCAUCCUUUAAAGGUGUUUUUAUGAGUUCCAUUCUAUCCUUUUCUGAGUUGACUGAUGAGUCAAGCCUAAUUACAUGGAUGGUUUAUUAUCAUGACUUGUUGUCCCUGAAUAACAUGUUAUUACAUACUCAAUAAAACUGCAGCUAUACCCACCAAUGUCAGGAAUUGCAUACUGUCAAAGACAAGGGGGUUUGAAAGGAAAAUGCUGAGGAGUCAGAGAAAUUCUGUGAACACUGAGCUCAGAUUCCAGAGGAGAAAAAGGAAGGUAGUAUCCAACUUUUCAGUCAUUUUAAAUACCUUGAAAGGUGUGAGGCAUGAUAAAAACACAGCCCCUGCAGAGGACUUCAUCAUAAGGAACAGCCUUCUGUACUCACUGGGUCAGAAAAAUGACUUUCUAAUGGCAUCUGCCUGUUUUACAUACAUAAUGAGCCAAACUAUGUGUGGUCGUGCUACUGCCUGGGAACACUUCUAGUCAUUGCCACCAGAAGAUUGGUCUAAAGAGCGUGCACUACAAAAUAACUCAGAGCUUUCCCUGCUGAAUUCAUUUUUAUUUUUGGCAUUUGAUACAGACUUUAAGUAAUUAAUGUAUGGUUUUGUGAAUGUCUCAUCUCAUAUUUCACACUUUUUUAAACAACGUAUACCUGAGACACCCUCCUCUGUUCUCCCAUGCCCAGGAAAUAUCUUUCUGUAGACAGCAGAACUGAAGUAUUCAAAGGUGAAGCAUCUCGUCCAAGAAACAAGUUUUCAUCAGUGCCAGAGACGAGACUUCAAUUUCUUUGCUCCAGACUCACUCUGUUAUCAUUCCUACCUAGUUAUAUGAUGCAGAGUCUUUGUAGCAGUGGCUGAAAAGCAGCUACCUGGACUUAACACCAAGCACAGGACCAGUGCAGCUUGCUGUACCACCCCAAAGCCCACCAGCUUGCUGGGCUGUGUAGUCUGAC
rnacentral:lncRNA from 1 species